GGCGUUGAAGGACCAGUAUGUUAAACCGGCACAACGCUUGAGCAAGGUCGUGGCCGAUUUAAUUUGUUGGAAUAAGAAAUAAAGCAAAAACGUUACCUUUGAUUUGACUCAGGAACACAAUGGCUGGAACGCGUCCUCUUGGAUUCACUCUCGGAAAACAAGUAAGUGACCGGUUUAAAUUUAUUCUUACUGUAGCCUGUCGAACUGUAUAUUUACCGAAGGGACAUUUUAGCAUAAGUAACAUAGUGGUAAACAGUUCGACAGUUGACAUAAUAA